rnacentral:rRNA from 1 species
UAAUACGGAGGAUCCAAGCGUUAUCCGGAUUUAUUGGGUUUAAAGGGUGCGUAGGCGGCCUAUUAAGUCAGGGGUGGAAGACGGUGGCUCAACCAUCGCAGUGCCUUUGAUACUGAUGGGCUUGAAUGAACCUGAGGUAGGCGGAAUGUGACAAGUAGCGGUGAAAUGCAUAGAUAUGUCACAGAACACCAAUUGCGAAGGCAGCUUACUAAAAUUUAAUUGACGCUGAGACACGAAAGCGUGGGGAUCAAACG